rnacentral:rRNA from 1 species
UACGGGGGGGGCGAGCGUUGUUCGGAAUUACUGGGCGUAAAGGGUUUGUAGGCGGUCUGUUAAGUCAGACGUGAAAUCCCUCAGCUUAACUGGGGAACUGCGUCUGAUACUGGCGGACUUGAGGACAGGAGAGGAACGCGGAAUUCCAGGUGUAGCGGUGAAAUGCGUAGAUAUCUGGAGGAACACCGGUGGCGAAGGCGGCGUUCUGGACUGUUUCUGACACUGAAAAACGAAAGCCAGGGGAGCAAACAGG